ensembl:lncRNA
GCCUCAGUGGAGACUGCAGGGUAGAGAGAAGGAAGGUUAACCGUACUUAGCAUUUAUAUAGUUUUCUUCUUCAGGAUUCUCCGCACAUCGCUGCUCCGCGCCAGACCCUUGAUUGGGAUGCAGGGCUCCUCGCUGCCAGGCUUCUGUCUCUGGGCUGUGGCACACAUUGUGAGAAAGAUAAAACAGAAAUAAAGAUCUCUUGGCCAGCUGAAAGUAAUGCAAACUCAGAGCCAUUUGGCACCGGCCCUGGAUUUAGGCACAGACGCGUUCUUGACAAUUAGAGAGGGGAGCAGAGUCCUGGGCUGCGGAUGCAGGCGCUUCCUAAGAGCGAGCCAGAUAUCACAAGGCUGCUCUUGGUCACGUGGAGCAGGAAAAAAACCCGGUGUGAAAUAAAGGAGAUCCUGCUUGGUCUGUGCCCCAAACUAACAGGGAACGUGCCAGCUCCCAAAUCUGGAUGUGAAGGGCUCCCUCAGCCUCUGCCUCACUGCUGCCCCGUGCCCUUGCUGCUGUCCUGCCCUACGGUGUCGUUGCACAGCCUUGCCUCUUCCUGAGCUGAGUUGGUAUUCCUAACACAAGAGAGGCACUUCAUUACUUUGAACUGAUUUUGACUGACAACGUCCCACCGAUGUGCUGGAGUGGAAAGGCAGCGGCAGGCUUACGGCGUGUUGCUAAAACAGGAGCCCUAACAGGACCACCACUCACUAGCCAGGAGUUUUAGGAUCGCUACACAGGCCAUGCAGCUGCAGGACCCGCUGCAACGCACGGAUGGUGCUGGACUUGCAGUGCUUUCACACGGCGGUGCGAGUCCCUGCCUAUCUGGGGGAGAGGUGCUCCAUCAGAGGUUGCCAACCUUUAUUAAACUCCUCUGUGUUGUGCUUGUGGCUGGAGGGCAGCCGGGCCAGGCCCCGUCUUGGUCUGCGCGUGGAAAAAGUCACUGCCUGGAGGUGCUGAGAGCCCGAAAAUGGGAGCAACCGGGUGAUGAGGGAUGCAUGGCCCACAUACAGGUGAGAAUGGGGAAACGGCAGUCACAGACAGAUGCACUAGGUGCAAUUUGGCCGUGCCACUUCCAAACAGCAUAACCUCUUGUUCUCAUUGCCUGUUUCCAGCUCAGAUUUGAUGCUGCUCUCGCCGCAGCACUGUGCAGCGUUGGGCUGGGGCCAGCACCACACCGGCCACCGACCAGCGGGGGUCUGUGGGGACCGGCAGUGCCCGUGGGCAGGGUGUCAGAGGCAAGACCCAAACUUUUAUGCACUCUUUCUAAGUGCUAAUGAACCUCGUAAGCAGCGGCUCACCGAAGGAUAUCAAGUCCCAGCUGUUCUCCCCAGGGAAGACAACCUGGCAGAAAUUGCACACUAUUUGCUGAAAGAAUCUCUAGUUUCUGGAGUCGGUUCAGAUAUACGGGAGAUGGUUAAAUCCGUGCUUGCAGAGGGAUCGCUACCCUAAGGGGGGCUAGGCUCCUUCCAACACAGCUGUGCUUUCCUUAUAAAAAUAUUUUUUUCCUUUUUUUUUUCUGGUAUUAUUUUCUCCUUCAAACCCUCAUGAUACCUGGUCACUGGUAUGAUUUUUGAUUUCCAGGUGAGAAACAGAAGGGAACAAUUUUAUCCAGAGCACCCACCAGAGAGGUGCUCUGUGUGAAUCGUUUGUGAGCCUUUACGAGGGCAGGGUCAGAUUUCCAGCAGUGAGAUCAGAGAACCUCAGGUGCGUGGCUGGAGAAAUUCAGUUUUUUUUCUAUUUCUUGAUUUACUAGUGCUGACAUAAACACCAUAGCUGACAUUUUUGAAGUGAUCAUAGAGAGCCCUUGGAGCUGAGCGAAGCUGAAGGGCAAGGACAACAUCUGCAUUCACCUCCUACCAGGAGAGGAUGGCAAGUCCUAGGACAACGGCAAAAACAAAGCUGGAGGGACAGGGGUGAAACUUAUGUGCAAAAAAAAAAUAAAUUCUAUUUUGAACUUUAUUGCUGAAAUGAU